rnacentral:lncRNA from 1 species
UUCGGAGUGCGCGCGCUCGAAGCGACCAAGCGGCAGCCAUUACCACCAGCGUCGGCGCAUUGUUCUGCCGUCGUUGGUGUCUCCCGCAGUUUCGAACAGCCAAGACUCCACGACUGCAGCCGUUUCAUUGCCAGCUGUAAGGAUGAAGAAGCUUCAUAGCCGGACAUCAGACGCUAUCCAAGUUCCCCUUUUCAGCAACAGAGGCCUAGGAUGUCAUUCUACCUGUGCUGCAUUGUGUGGCUGACCACUCCAAGGUUCUCAGCAGAAUCAUUACACAGGAAGAAGUCCUGCUGACCCCAAGCAUGGUGUGAAAUGAAGAAAUGGCACUCCACAUCCAUAGAGAGCUUGAUUUCCCCUGUUUCAUGCUUACUUGUUGGCAUAGCCAGUCUGUUAGCUUAAUUUUUGGUUCUUCCCUAUUGAAUGCUUAAGAAAGACACCAAAACUGUCAUUCACUUAAAAAAAAUUGUGUUUGCAGACAC